rnacentral:tRNA from 1 species
GGUGGGAUGGCUGAGUGGACGAAAGCGGCGGUCUUGAAAACCGUUGUAGCGUAAGCUACCGUGGGUUCGAAUCCUACUCCCACCG